UUCAGGUGACACGGAGCUGCCAGGUCAUUCUGCCUAUCUAUCACUGACAACCUGUCUGCUCUGGAUUCCUCUUUUGGAGGUGACAUGUGAGUAGGUCAAAGAGAGUAGGUGGGUAAUAGAAUUGAAGAGCUGCUGUUCUCUGGACAUAGCAAGAGAAGAGACCUGAGCAGAGGAGGCUGGCAGAGGGGUUCACUCAUCCCUGAGAAAAGAGCAGGCUGGCUGGCUGUGCAGGACAGAACCUGUCUGCAGUGUUCCACCUCGUAACUGCUUUGCUGCUCCUGUCCUCAUGCCUCCCUUCUCUUACACACCUCACACAACAACUGCUACGCCCAGAGCAGGCUGGAGCUGAGAGCAGUGCAGCAGGGGCUUUGGAAACAACAGACCUGGACCUGAGUGCCUCGUCUGUAAGAAAUCAAAGGAGGCCAGGAGGAAAGUAAAAUGCGCAGAUGGAUUUUGGUGGCUCAAUGCUGUACAGAACCUGCCCCCGAAUUCCAGACCCAGGAACUCCUUCCAAAGUACCAUGCUAAGCAUUCUGAACCCAGCCAGCAUGGAUGCUCCUUUUUUGCUGCAUUGACGCUCUGCACCUCCCAUGAGCACUGGUUGCCAAGUCACUCUGUCUCUUUUAAUGCCAGCCAUGAGAAGCAUGCACAAUUAUACUAAGCAAAGUGUCUCUCUGAGAAGCACUUGAAGAUCAGGCUCACAGACUAUUGAAAAGUGUGAUGAUUAACUUUAUGUAUCAGUUUGAUUUGGCUUAGUGAUUCCUAGGUAGCUGAUAAAACAUUUAUGCAUGUGUCUGUAAGGAGGUUCUGGAAGACAGAAGCAUCUGGAAGAGAGUGAAAUUCUGUCUGUCUGUCUCCUUCUGAGAUACAAUGUUCAUCUUCUCAUUCUUGCUCUUGGAGCUUGGAUCGUGUUUUGAACUGAAGUAGCCCUGAUUCUCAGGUUUUUUGACUCAGAAUGAAUUCUGCAUUAUACUACUGGCUUUCUUCAUCUUGAAGUUUGAACAGGGCAUAUUUGAAGGCUUCUUGGACUUCAUAAUUUUGUA